rnacentral:rRNA from 1 species
CCUACGGGAGGCAGCAGUGGGGAAUAUUGCACAAUGGGCGAAAGCCUGAUGCAGCAACGCCGCGUGAGGGAUGACGGCCUUCGGGUUGUAAACCUCUUUUAGUAAGGAAGAAGAACUUCGGUUUGACGGUACUUGCAGAAAAAGCACCGGCUAACUACGUGCCAGCAGCCGCGGUAAUACGUAGGGUGCAAGCGUUGUCCGGAAUUAUUGGGCGUAAAGAGCUCGUAGGCGGUUUGUCGCGUCUGCUGUGAAAUCCGGAGGCUCAACCUCCGGCCUGCAGUGGGUACGGGCAGACUAGAGUGCGGUAGGGGAGAUUGGAAUUCCUGGUGUAGCGGUGGAAUGCGCAGAUAUCAGGAGGAACACCGAUGGCGAAGGCAGAUCUCUGGGCCGUAACUGACGCUGAGGAGCGAAAGCAUGGGGAGCGAACAGGAUUAGAUACCCUGGUAGUCCAUGCCGUAAACGUUGGGAACUAGAUGUAGGGGCCAUUCCACGGUUUCUGUGUCGCAGCUAACGCAUUAAGUUCCCCGCCUGGGGAUCGGCCGCAAGGCAAACGUCAAAGGAUUGACGGCUGAGACGNGCGACGACGACGACGAGGGAGAGG